UACGUAGGAGGCAAGCGUUGUCCGGAUUUAUUGGGCGUAAAGAGCGUGUAGGCGGCUUCACAGGUCCGCUGUGAAAACUCGAGGCUCAACCUCGAGAUGUCGGUGGAAACCGUGUGGCUAGAGUCCGGAAGAGGAGAGUGGAAUUCCCGGUGUAGCGGUGAAAUGCGCAGAUAUCGGGAAGAACACCCGUGGCGAAGGCGGCUCUCUGGGACGGUACUGACGCUGAGGAGCGAAAGCGUGGGGAGCGAACAGG
rnacentral:rRNA from 1 species